GACGAACGCUGGCGGCGUGCCUAAUACAUGCAAGUGGGACGCAAGGACACACACUGUGCUUGCACACCGUGUUUUCUUGAGUCGCGAACGGGUGGGUAACGCGUAGGUAACCUGCCUAUUAGCGGGGGAUAACUAUUGGAAACGAUAGCUAAUACCGCAUAAUAUUAAUUAUUGCAUGAUAAUUGAUUGAAAGAUGCAAGCGCAUCACUAGUAGAUGGACCUGCGUUGUAUUAGCUAGUUGGUAAGGUAAGAGCUUACCAAGGCGACGAUACAUAGCCGACCUGAGAGGGUGGUCGGCCACACUGGGACUGAGACACGGCCCAGACUCCUACGGGAGGCAGCAGUAGGGAAUCUUCGGCAAUGGACGAAAGUCUGACCGAGCAACGCCGCGUGAGUGAAGAAGGUUUUCGGAUCGUAAAGCUCUGUUGUAAGUCAAGAACGUGUGUGAGAGUGGAAAGUUCACACAGUGACGGUAGCUUACCAGAAAGGUACGGCUAACUACGUG
rnacentral:rRNA from 1 species